GUCUGACGGAGCACGCCGCGUGAGUGAUGAAGGUUUUCGGAUCGUAAAGCUCUGUUGUUAGGGAAGAACAAGUGCGAGAGUAACUGCUCGCACCUUGACGGUACCUAACCAGAAAGCCACGGCUAACUACGUGCCAGCAGCCGCGGUAAUACGUAGGUGGCAAGCGUUGUCCGGAAUUAUUGGGCGUAAAGGGCUCGCAGGCGGUUUCUUAAGUCUGAUGUGAAAGCCCCCGGCUCAACCGGGGAGGGUCAUUGGAAACUGGGAAACUUGAGUGCAGAAGAGGAGAGUGGAAUUCCACGUGUAGCGGUGAAAUGCGUAGAGAUGUGGAGGAACACCAGUGGCGAAGGCGACUCUCUGGUCUGUAACUGACGCUGAGGAGCGAAAGCGUGGGGAGCGAACAGGAUUAGAUACCCCCAGUAGUCAA
rnacentral:rRNA from 1 species